AACCACAGUGGGCCCACAGGUAACCAGCACCCCGAGCCAGGGUGACAGGGAGGUGCCAUUCAUCUGCUCUGCACGGGAUUUACCUCCAAGGGCCCAGCAUGUGCCACGUCUCAGUCACUGAGCUGCAGGUCAAGAGUGAGCUACAGGCAGCUUUGCACCCUCCACGGCACCCCAGCCUGCAGGGAGAAAUCACUCCACACUGGAAUACUCACUGCUGUUGCAUCAAACAAGUGGAACGGACCAAAAAUGAGCAUCACUUUGGACACCAAGUUAAUGAUCUCCCUGUUGGGAAGAUGACCUGAGCUCACCUGUGCACAGCAAUGCAGUGAUGCAGGAGGUCUUGGCUUGCACCACAUCCCCCGAUCCCAAGGCAUUGCCCACCCUGACACUCGCAGCCACGCUGAUGCCCAGAGGCACCUGAAUAGCAGGAGACAAGAGGAGCACACCCUGGAUGUGCAGCUGCUGUGGCAGGUCUGAGAGGCAUCACCUGCCUGGUACUGCCCCCUGUUCCCAUCUCAGAUUGACCACAGAGCCACUGUUUGGGGGCUGCUCCCAGGCUGUUUGGGGUUUCCUACACCCAGCCCUUACCAUGUAGGCGGCACAGGCGAGCUCGUAGAUGAUGGACUGUGCCCCCAGCUCCACCACACUGAGCAGCCCUGGAAAAGAUUCAUCACCUCCUUUGUUUGCUGACAAGGAGGCAGCAACUACAGGGUUCCCACUGAAUGGAUGGGAACACCUGCAGUGUCCUGCAGACCUGGUCCUGUAGGUGAGGAAGCUGCUGGCAGGAGGAGCUCUGGAGACACAGUCAAGAAGCAGCCACCAGAGCAGGCACAGCUGUAAGGCAGCCUGUUGAACCACAGGAAAAAGAGGAUUUGGACUCACCAGCCAAGAAGCUCCCAAUCUCAAAGGUCCACCACUCAAUGCACAUCAUGAUCAUGCCGGGCACUGCCAGCCAGAUGAAGGAGCCCCAGUCCAGGAGGCAGUCCCUGCUCCAACCUGCAACGAGGACGUGAAGCAAAAUGAACACAUGUUCUCCCUCUCCAUCCCCAAAGGGGAACCAUAUGUUCUUCUGGGUACUCUCAGAGGACAACCAUCACUGCAGCUCACAGGACACCUGCCUAGGAUUGCUGCUGUGCCAUGCUGCAUUCCUGAGACAGGUUAUUCAACAAGAAUGUAUUUGGAGCUACAGUAAAGGCCUUGAGGACAUGACUUCAGCAUCUUCCCACUGUGAGGGGAUGACAAUCCCUUUGUCAGGUGCUGGCGACAGUGCCAAAUUCCCAGGGUCAGACAUUGGUAUUCUGAAGGAUUAAACUAUAACAGUACCUCCCCAGGUCUUCACAUGGAUCUUCUUCCACCACAUGUAAAGGAAGAGGAGGAUGGCCUGGGUGUACUGAGAAACAGUGUUAGCCCAAGCAGAGCCCCUGCAGAGAAAGAUAGGCAAGUUACAAGUGACAUCCUUCCCAAUCUCCUCAGCUACAGCAGGAGAGACCCAGGGGUCUUGCUCAAGCCUGGUACCACACAAGCCUUGCUCCCUCCAGCCUCAUCCUUGCAGGCUGGUUGUCUGGGGACAGAAGGUGGCAGAACUGGGCACCCAGGACACCCCCCCAGCCCUGAGCACACAGGGAGAGACUGUGACCACCCCUGCUCACACUUACACCAUGCCCAGCUUCAGUGCAUAGAGGAAGAAGGCGUUCAUGGCCACGUUGAGGACGUUGGCUGCAAUCCCGGUCAACACCUGAGGCAGAAUGAUCGCCUGGAAGCCAAGGAGGGACUUUGGAGUUUGCUCCCCCAGUGCUGCCCAAGCCCCAUCCAGUGAACACAAGGGAGAACUUCAGCAGUGCCCAAGGAGAAAGCCAAGAAGGCAGCUCCUGUUCCAGCUGGUACAGAAACGCCGCCUGCAAGAAUCAGGAUUCAGUUCAUCAUCAGACCGUGGUUCAACAACCCUUGAACACUGACAGACCAGUCCCCCCACCACCUUCUUGGGGUGCCCCAGCCAGCACCUGCCCGACACCCUGUUCCAGUGCUCCUGCUGAAGUGUGGCGCCUGCCAGCACUGCACCCAAAAGAGUAACAGAAGGCACCUCCCAUUCCCACUGGGAAGAGAGAUCAGUCUCCAGAUGGGAAAUCUCCUAUGCUUCCCCAUCAGCCUGAGAAAGCUUGGAAAGCUUAGAAGAAAAGAUAAACCUACAGACCCUUAUUCCACAGGGAUACUGUUCCCUGCCUUAGAGAAGUCGGAGUAACCAGCUGGAGCCCAGCAGCUGUGAGUGUGUGAACAGCAAGCUCCAGCCUUCAUUUUGGAGCUAACAGUGAGCUUGGAGCCUCUGGUUCCAAUCUCCACCACCACUUGUGUGGCCACAGCAAAAGCCUUUGCACAGGAAGAUCAGAGACCCUGUGUUUGCUGGUCCAGCAGCUGCUGGCCAAUGCACAUCUGUUAAGGCACAAAGUCAAGGGACACACUGUAAACCCCUAAACCUGCCCUGUGAGCCACAAAGCAAAGGCCUUCCCUCCUUUCCUUCGUGUUACUAAGGGACACAGAGCUUCUAACAGCUUUAGCAGAGACUUACAGGAAGUGCUGGAAUAAAGAUCAUCACGUAGACCUGAGUUAACCUGGAAAGAGAGUUGUUUCCCCAGUUAGUAUUACAGCAAAGCAAGAGCCAAGCCAAACAGCGUUGUGCUCAAGCUCCAGAGAGGCUUGAUUUCAACACUACAGAGCAACCCACCCACAGUAAAAAGCCCCGAUCCAGAAGGGCUGGAUCUCACCCCUGACCUGGAGACCUCGGGGUCCUGUCGGAUGAGCAGGAGGAUUUGCUCAGUGUUGACGAAGAGUGCCCAGCAAGGGAAGCAGCACAGCAGCAGGAUGAGGGUGCCCCGCUGCAGGAUGGUGCCCACCUGCUUCAGGUUCUUGCUGCCAUACGUCUGAGCGAGGAGAGAGAGGACCAAGGGGAAUUGGAGUGAUACGUACGGACACAGCCAGUGAGACAGCAUCCAGCUCAGCUUUCCCCAGGUGGCCACAGAAGAUGGAGCUGACCACGCUGAUCAGGAACCCCAGCAGCUGGGAGAGGAACUAGGACGAGAGGAGAAGGAAAUGGGCCUACAGCGAAGUGCAACGAUGCUGCAGCAGAGAUUGCACUCCAAACUUCAUUUUCCCUUGGCAAGAGGAUGUCCCUUCUACAGG